UUCCUAUCUCGUCAAGAUCAGGGCAAAAGGAAGAAAACACCGAAUUCUGCUUGCCGUUUCAGAGCGGCGGUGAUGAAGACAAAAUUGAACAUCUACAACAUGCAGUUCCUGCUUUUUGUUUUCUUGGUGUGGGACCCUGCCAGGUUGGUGCUGGCUAACAUCCAAGAAGAUGAGGCUAAAAAUAACAUUACCAUCUUUACGAGAAUUCUUGACAGACUUCUGGAUGGUUACGAUAAUCGGCUUAGACCAGGACUGGGAGUUUCCAGAGUGGAAUCUCCAGUCUGUGUAACAUAGCCUUCAAGAGCCAGAACAAAGGGACCCAAACUCAAAUGCUCUCCAUGGGCAGAACAAAUAAAGGAAUGAGUGGAGCAUAAUGGAGAUUGAAGAACUGGAGAGCACAUUUCUUGUAUGAAGGGGGUUGAGUUUUAUCUGAUCAUUGCCACAUAAGUAUUUAAAAUCAGAGUUGCCAGAUAUUCCAAUUAUUUUUCAAAAGUUGUUGAAGAUCUCCAUUUUUAUAGAAAGUUUUCUUCAGUCUUAAAGGUCAACCAAUUUUCAUUUAAAUCAAACUAAACAAAAUCUGUGCUUCCCAAACAAAUCACACUUGAGUAUUAGUUUGCAGCCUCUGGCCCUAAACCAAGACUUCUCAUAAAGGGUAUGAAAAAACCAGUCGGAAAACUUGUUAAGUGCAAAUUUAACAAAUCUUCAAAGACUCAUUCAGAUUUGGUUUGGUCCCAGAACUAUAUUUCAACAAAUGUUCUUGAUUCUGAUGCACAUGGUCCAAACACUGGACUGAGUCAUCUGUUUUCAAGGUUCUGGUUAAAAAUGAUGGUUUCUUUCUUCUUUCUCUCAUAGUACUUUAUUUGAACUCUUUUAAGUUAAAGGGAAAAAGAAAUGUGUAUGGUAAGAUUGGUCUGUUACCAGAUGAGUCUAGCUAGCAUUUUCCUCAAAACCUCAAAGAGAGGCCUCUGUCCCCCAUUGUUCUGAGGUGGCUGUCAGUGUUACAAGGUCAGAGUCCUACUUUUGUUUAGUGAUUGGAUUAGUCAGAAUUAACUGGCUUAUGUUUCAGUAAUAACUAUCCAGUUUUAUCUCUCGAUCAUGUAUCUUGCUCACGAUCCAACCUUGUCCACUGAGGUUGGAUGGCAUGUAGGAAUGGGCUCUCUUUUAUGUCUUCCUCACUUAGGGUUUCGGAUUGAUGGACUUCCACCACCUAAAACAUUGCUAGCCACUGUGUCCAGGGGAAAGAUGUGGCUAGGUGUACACUGUCAUUUAAAGCUUCUGCCCAGAUGUGACACAAUGUCCCUCUGCCCACAGUCCAUUGUUCAAAGGAAACCAUAUACACAUGUUUAACUUCAAGGUGGCAGGGAAGUGCAACCCUACCAUUUACUCAGAAGUGGAAGAACUAGCAAUAUUUUGCAAGUAACUUAAUAACUACCACACUUGGCAAGUAGAACCCAUUUCUCAGGGUGCAAGUCAUCUUCCAUAGUGACUGAUUAUACAAACUGUUUGGUGACACAGGUCAUAUCUCAUUUCAAGAUGUAUAAUUCUGCAACUUUGUUUUGUCUGUAGCAUGCAUAGAAUGUUUAUGAAGUUAAUUAUUAUGAAGAUAUGAUAUUAAUAACCAUGCUUUUUUGGAUAUAGUCAACUUUAUGUACCUUCUCUUUUCUUGGUGUUAGAAGGCAGUGCUGUAUGCCCUUUUUCCAAAGCUCCCAGGAAUAAAGAGGUUUGCCAUUUGUGCUGUGAAGGCAUAGUUCCAGUUGAAGAUAUUUAAAAAGAGAUACUCUUUGAAGUGUUAGUCUGAAAUUUCAACCUCCGUGACAGUAAUUGCCAGGGAGAAUGGAGUUAGAUAGGUGAGGAAGAGACCAUGUGUGGUUUGCUACUGUGUCCUUAGUGCUUGGCACAGUAUGUAGAAUUCACCAUUUGUCAAUUGAUUAUGUGAAUCCAACACUCAUAUAUGCAAAAACAGACAUAUCUGUGCUUUGGAGAGCUACUUAUUUUGGGUUCUUAGAAAUGUUUUUGACAUUCAACAAUCAAUUUUUUUCUAUAUAUUUUAGUGGUUUAGACUUCUGACAUUGCUAACAACGAGUCAUCCUUCUCAGAAACAAUGUUGAUUGAUAGAUGGGUUAAAUUGGUCUGCUGAACCUUAAAUUCAGUAGCACAUAAAAUUAGAACCAUUGGGUUGAACCUGGAUUUAAUAUAGUGAAAUGGACUAAUUCAGUAGCCCCUGCUGUUACUGCUUUUCAGACCAUCUGAGCAGUGAUCAUGAACAAAGGCUCUAUGGCUUCAGUCAUCUGUAAUGCAUACAACACUGCCUUCUAACCCCACAACAAAAGCUUUGGAAGAGCCACUAGAUGCACAUGAUAGAGACAAAAACAAGAACUACAAAAAUGUAUUUUAAAAGCCUGAAAAGCAUAAGCCUAAAAUGUCUCUGUAUUUUGAGAUUUUGCAAAACUAUUGUUAGUUUUAUACCAACCGUUUAAAGUUUUUCAGUUGUCUUGCAGAGGCUGUUAAUGAAAAGUUAUAAGAUAAUGGAAUCAUACUAAAUUAUAAUUUCUAACAGGUUCUGAGAUUGAGGUGCCAUGCUAAGCACUUUACAUAUCAUUUAAUACUCAUUAUAACUCCCAUGAGAUAGAUAAAUUGAUGACCCCUACCUUAGAAGCAAGGAAAUGAGAGCCGCAGACCAAUUACUUGCCUUUUGUCACCUAAUUAUUUUGUGAUGGCAUGGAUAUUCUAUCCAAUAUAAUUUUCUCAAGAGCCUUUCUCCAGAGUCUCAUCAAUCAGGAAUUAAGCACCCUCAAAUCAAACAAAGGUGGUAUCAAUGAGUAUAUGUAUGCUUUGGAGGAGGAGCUCACUAUUUGUUACAUUUGUGUAAUCAUUAGCAUCUGGAUAAGUAUCUCUGGAAGGGGAAGGAUGGUGCGCAGUUUCAUUCUUUUAUUUGUUUAGGUGUUCUUAUUAUUGCAUUUCUUGGUCAUCCUGAGUUUGACGUAUAUCCAGACUUGAAUACAGGUUUAGACAUGAAGGAUCAGAAAGGACAGUGCAGUGUUUAGCAGAAAAUCUAUUAGGGUGUUGUGAAUUAAAGCCAGAAUCUGUUACUCUCACUGCUGAUUUUACUCCCUUACUGUGUGAAUCAGAGCUUUUGGUAUUAUUAUGCUGGAGAAUAGCUAAUGAGAAGGAGAUAAGAAGACCAUGUAGUCUAGAUAGAUAAUCUCAGCAUUUCUUGGUACAAAGUACAUUGGUACUUGAGUUAUUUGUAAAAUUAGUAAUACAAUGAUGCAAUUGUUCAUAUAAAUUUCAAUCAUGUUAAGCUUAUUAUAAGUGAUAUUGAAGUAAUAUGAUACAUGAAGAAGGGAUGAGUAUAUGAAAGGCAAAUAGAUGAAGGCAUAUUAAAUGCAAGAACCCUCUUUCCAGAUGCAUUGAGUUACAACUGCUUCAUUUCCCUUUGUUCCCAUUUGACCCAUGUACAUCUUAUGAGACACAAUAUAGUGUACUUUGGAAAAGAUCAGGCUUUGGAGCUUGAAAAACCAGGGUUUGUAUUCUGGUUUGAGCAUGUUCUUACCAUGUGCUUUUUGUAUACAUGAAUUGCCUUCUCUAAACCUCAGUUUCUUCAUCAGUAAAAUAAGUAUAAAAUAACUAACAUUUAUAGCAAGGUUACAAAGAGUAAUGAAAUUAUUUGUAAUGUUCCUGUAAAAGUACCCAGCAUAUGUUGGGUGUUCAUUAGUGGCCAACUUCCCAUGUGCCUUUUGAUUUUUGCGAACAUGUCAUAAUGUGGAGAUUUGUUCACAAUUUAGGAAAUAAUGAGUGAAAAUGAGAGAACAUCUAAAAAUAGGACAUGAGAUAGUUAUUUUUACUAAGAGAGUUCAUGGAGUUUGAUAGUCUUUAUUUAACUGUGUAUCCUAGGGUUACAUGUGAUUAAAUUUUUCCUUUGUGGGAUGCCCUUUAAGUAGAAGUUUAUUGCAAAAUUCUCCAUAGAAUGUUUAAAUUUCAUGGUAUUUCUUGUCAUACACUAGAAUUAAAUGAGAAGGAAUAGUUGGAUUUUGAGAUUACAUCUAUGGAAGUACAGAACCAAACAGGAGAAUAAGGUGUUUCUGAGAAAACCUGAGCAGUCAAAUAAAUGAUAGCUUAACUUCAUCUGGCUUUUCUUUAGAAAUUUAGACUUCCAUAAAUAUGUUGUAUUUCCCUUGCAUAAAUAUUAGCCAUUAGUGAUCUAAUUACCUGUUAGAUUUCUAAUCAUGAUUACUUAUGAUUUCUUCAAAACUUAAAAAAGGUAACCUUUUAAAAUGAUUGAAAGUGUUAUGCAAUAGACAAUUUUUAAAACAUUUACUGAAAUGAGUAGGAGAUAGAAUUCUAGGCUAUCCCCAAAUUUCUUGUCACAUGUUUUACAUGCCCUGUAUGAUUUCUGUGACUGUGACUGUGAUUUCAGUCUGAUGAUUAGUUUUUGUUAUAUGGCACAGUUGACUUUAAGAAAGGGACAUUAUCCGAGUGGGUCUGACCUAAUCACAUGAGCCUUUUAAAUCUAAAUCAAGAGAUCAGAGACAGAAAAGUCCAGGAUAUUUAAAACAUGAGGGAGAUUCUUCAUUGCUGGUAGGGGGCCACAUGGCAAGGAACACAACAGCCUCUAGGAGAUGAGACUUGACAGCCAGCAGGGAAAAUGGGAAUCUUAAUUCUACAGCUGCAAGGAACUAGAUUUGGACAACAAUCUGAAAGAGCUUAGAAGCUGAUUCUUCCCCAGAGGCUCCAGAAAGGAGCACAGCACACCCAUACCUUGAUUUCAGCCAUGUGAGAAUCUGAGCAGAGAACCAAGACAUAGCAUGCUGGACUUCUGACCUACAGAACUAUGUGCUAAUAAAUGGGUAUUGUCUUACAUUGUUAAGUUUGUAAUAAUUUGUUAAACAAUAGAAAACUAGCAUAUCUACUGUUACUAAUUUUUUAAAAUACAUUUUUCAGUGUUUAACCUGUGCUAGGCAUAGUGUACUUUACACCUACCAUCUCAUUUAAUUAUUUCAAAGUACUGUAAGAUAGGCAUUAUAAGCCACAUUUAACAGAUAAGAAUAUCGAAGCACAUAUAAGUUAAGUAAUAUGCAUAGGGUCACAAAUUAUUAGUGUAUAACUCUGAAUUGAAUUUAGAUCUCUUUGAUUCCAAGGCUUGGGAUCUUACAUGCCCCUUUAUUAGGUAGGAAUAGAUACUUCAUGAAGAUGAUAACAUGCCAUCUACAGAAUACGAUAUGGCAUUGAUGUGACACUUUACCUACAAAAUAUCUUAUUUCUGAGUCUUCCGCAAGAGAAAAAGCAAUUUUAUUUUUAUGGGACAAGAUUGGAUGUUACAUUUUUAAUCAAUUACAUGUAAGUGUAUUCUACCUUUAAAAUUGCUAUGGAAAAGUUUAAUUAUUUCCAACAGGAUUUAUAACUAUCAGUUAUACCUCAAAGUUGUUAUUAACUGAAUAAAACUACACAUUCCAAAAUGAUUAACUCUUAAAGCGCAUUAUUGGUACAUUCAUAAUGUUUAAUUUUAUUUUUAUCAUCCUUGCUCAUAUUGAAUAAAU
rnacentral:lncRNA from 10 species